UUGAAAGGGAAACGAUUGAAGUCAGUCGUACCGUCGAGAAAUCAGCUUUUCGAAUGAGCACUUGUGGGAGCUGAGAUCUUCAUUGUUUGAAUAUGUUAUUUCUUUGGGGUACUUUUUCGUAUGGUAGGUCAACGUCGGUUUUGAUCGCCAUAAAAUGAUCGGAGGAAUGUAGCUUCGACCUCGGUUGAAGUGUUAUAGCCUUUGUUAAAUGUGGUGAUUAGGACCGAGGAUUGUAACGAAUACCUUUUAGGCUAUCCGUCUGACCUCUGAAAGUUACUUGGGUGUCGAAAGCUUGCUUACGGUCAUUUAAGUUAACGGACAAAAGGUUAGAACGAGAUUACAUUCGUUAAGGAUGUUGACGUA
rnacentral:rRNA from 1 species